UGCUUAGUAUUUUGGUAUACAGGCGCUGCAUGGCUGUCGUCAGUUCGUGGCGUGAGCUGUUGGGUUAAGUCCUAGAACGAACGCAACCCUCUUGAUAUGUGUAUAUUGUUAAAGUAUACCUUAUCAUACUGCCAGUGACAUACGGGAGGAAGGUGAGGAUGACGUCAAGUCCGCAUGGCCCUUAUGGGUUGGGCUACACACGUGCUACAAUGGCGGAAGCAAAAGGUGGCAAUAUGGUGACAUGGAGCAAAUCCUUAAAAACCGUCGUAGUUCGGAUUGUUCUCUGCAACUCGAGAACAUGAAGAUGGAAUCGCUAGUAAUCGUAGAUCAGCAUGCUACGGUGAAUUUGUAUCUAAGCCUUGUACACACCGCCCGUCACAUAAUGGGAGCGAGAUCUGCACAAA
rnacentral:rRNA from 1 species